rnacentral:rRNA from 1 species
AGCCUACGGGGGGCAGCAGUAGGGAAUAUUGCUCAAUGGGGGAAACCCUGAAGCAGCAACGCCGCGUGGAGGAUGAAGGUUUUCGGAUUGUAAACUCCUUUUGUUAGAGAAGAUAAUGACGGUAUCUAACGAAUAAGCACCGGCUAACUCCGUGCCAGCAGCCGCGGUAAUACGGAGGGUGCAAGCGUUACUCGGAAUCACUGGGCGUAAAGAGCGCGUAGCCGGGCUGACAAGUCAGAUGUGAAAUUCCGGGGCUCAACCCCGGACCUGCAUUUGAAA